GCUCACCCUGCUGACAACUGUCAUGCAUUCCUGUCUCUAACAUGUCUUCAGGACUCAGAAUCAUGAUCAUCAGAUUCAGCUAAUUGCAUGAUAACAAUUAGUCCGGCCAUGCAUAUUUCUGUCAGCCACAGGUAGGUAGUUUUUGUUUUUGUUUUUCUCUGAAGUCUGAUUUCUUGUGAAAUUAAUCGAUCACUUGAUCACAUGUACAGUUGAUUUGAUGACACAGCAUGCACCUCUCAAGGGUAGGUUUUGAUUUGUGUGGAUAUAUAUAUUGGGCUUUUGCAGGUAUCAUAUAUAGGGCAUAAUUAGGGGCAUCUCUGAAGUGAUAUCCAUUGCUUUAGGGGUUGGCGCCAUGUGAUUAAUGCCGUGGGCCUUUCUAGCUCUAGGUGGAACAUCGAUGUGAGAACGAACCGAUGAAGGAGACGGACCAUGGAGGCAGCAAUUAUCCAGUAAUGCUAGCUAAUACUAAUGUGUGAUUCAUAAUGCAUGUGGCUAAUAUCAUCUCAAAUUGAGUGCCUCUGGUGCAUUAUUUUUCAAUGCUCCUAAUUCUAUGGCCUCAUCAACAUACAGUUUUAUAUUUCUCAAAAUCAUGACCAUUUCUAAAUCACACGUGUUGUUGAACUAUUAUGUGUGUGUGUGAUCCAAUCUAGUAUCAAAGUUAGAGAAAUAUAUUGGAUUGACUGCAAAUAGCACUACGAC
rnacentral:lncRNA from 1 species